GACGAACGCUGGCGGCGUGCUUAACACAUGCAAGUCGAACGGAAAGGCCCUGCUUUUGUGGGGUGCUCGAGUGGCGAACGGGUGAGUAACACGUGAGUAACCUGCCCUUGACUUUGGGAUAACUUCAGGAAACUGGGGCUAAUACCGGAUAGGAGCUCCUGCUGCAUGGUGGGGGUUGGAAAGUUUCGGCGGUUGGGGAUGGACUCGCGGCUUAUCAGCUUGUUGGUGGGGUAGUGGCUUACCAAGGCUUUGACGGGUAGCCGGCCUGGGAGGGUGACCGGCCACAUUGGGACUGAGAGACGGACCAGACUCCAACGGGAGGCAGCGGUGGGGAAUAUUGCACAACGGGCGGAAGCCUGAUGCGGAAACGCCGCGUGCGGGAUGACGGCCUUCGGGUUGUAAACCGCUUUCGCCUGUGACGAAGCGUGAGUGACGGUAAUGGGUAAAGAAGCACCGGCUAACUACGUG
rnacentral:rRNA from 1 species